CCCGACUUCGCCUGGGAACCGGCCCUGGCUGCCGCCCGAGGAACCGCCGCGGGCAUGUCGCUGCGCUGCCCCACACCUUGCUCUUCCCGGCAGUGCAGCGGCACUUCCCAGGGCACUGGGAGCCGGGGAAAGGGGCUCCCGGCCCCUCCGCAUGGCGGCAGCGCCCAGCCCCGCUCCCCUCCCAGCUCCUCCAGCCCUGCAUCGUGCCGGAGUGGGCCGCCCAGCUGUGUGCACACUUCCAGAUGUGGCAGCGCUUGCUGCUCCGGAGAGCGGUACGGACCCCUUCCCCGCCAGAGCCGGCCAGUUGUGCAACGCCGCUGGCAGCCAGGGAAAAUCCCUGCUUGGCCUCUGCAAAGCUCCUCUGGCAGCCUCAAGCACGUGAGCGAGCGCAUCGCUACCCGCUUUCUUAUUGAAAUCCAGCUUGAGGAUUUGGCUUCCCAGCCCUCUGCCCUUACAUGGGCAAUCAGCUGGAGAGGACACGGAGCGAGCCAGGGUCAACGUGGCCAGGAGCAUGGAGGAAGGGAACGGGAGGCCGCGCUGCCCGGCCAGGCGGCCAGCAGCACCCCAAGCCAGCGCGGCCCUGCGGCUCCCGGGCCCAUUCCUGCCUUCCCUGUGGUUGCAGACACUUCUCCUUCCUCCAUGGCAGUGCUCGGCUGCCCCGACCCCGUGCACACCCUCCGUCCGGUCCGGUGGUCUCCGUCACCGAAGCCCUGUGGUUUGCGCCAAUGCACGCGGAGGGGAGGACGUGGCAGUGCCAGCAGGGACGUUUGCUCGGUCCGUGCUCCCUGCUGGCGGCGCACGCUGCUCCCGCGACCAAAGCUGCAUCCAGCCGAACCCCGUGCCAAAAUGGGCUCUCAUGCUGCACAGCACCGGCCGGGAGGAAGGAGGCCGCUGCUGGACCAGGGAGGUGGCGCGGGGCCCUGGUCGGUCAGGAUGGGACCCCUCUUCUGCAAGAGCCCGGCUCAGGUCUGCGGAAAGGAGCAACCUCAGCGGAGGCCAGUGCGAAGGGCGAAGCGCUGCUCAGCGCAUGCCGGCAGCCUGCACGAGGCUGAGGCGACUCCCGGCGCAACAGUGGCAGCCGGAGCAGGGUCUGUGCCCACCCCAAGCGGGGACCGAGCCAGGCCCUGCUCUCCCUCCUCCCCUCGCGAGGCCGCGUUGCACCAGGGCUCAUGCUGCUGGAGGAAAUGGGACCCAUCCGUGCCUCAGUUUCCCCGAUGGCAAAGCCGGUGGGAGCCGUGCGAGCGGGGCCUUCCCACAGCAGCCGCGCGCUGGGCUCGCCCCCUCGGUCACCCCUCGCCUUUGCCUGCAGUGACGUGCGCCUCGCACCCGUGCUCCGGCCCCUGCGCCCACCCCCGUGCGCACCCGCUCCCCCCCCGCUCCCAUCCUCACUCACUGUCAGUGACACCCGGCA
rnacentral:lncRNA from 1 species